UACGAAGGGGGCUAGCGUUGUUCGGAAUCACUGGGCGUAAAGGGCGCGUAGGCGGCUUUGUAAGUCGGGGGUGAAAGCCUGUGGCUCAACCACAGAAUUGCCUUCGAUACUGCAGAGCUUGAGACCGGAAGAGGUAAGUGGAACUGCGAGUGUAGAGGUGAAAUUCGUAGAUAUUCGCAAGAACACCAGUGGCGAAGGCGGCUCACUGGCUCGGUACUGACGCUGAGGUGCGAAAGCGUGGGGAGCAAACAGGG
rnacentral:rRNA from 1 species